AAGCGUCUUUGCCUCCAACUCUGUGGUAGGCUGGGAAUUAUGCCUGCGCACUCAAAUCCACUCUAUUUCAAUAAUUUUUCAGCUAAGGGGGCUCAACUGAGCAUCGUGACAAUGGAACAAGUAGAUGCUACUCUCAGUGUCCACUAAACCAUAAGUCCUUUGAGGAUACAGGAAGACAUCCACCAAUCUCAAGAUCAAAAUGUGAUAAGAGGAAGUCUGCAAGCAAAGAAGAUGUUACCCACCACCACCUCUUACAGAAAUGGCAGAAUCUCUGGGAAUAAUGGUUUUCACAAAGAAAGCAUUCCUAAUCACUCAGGGGGAACUAGGUCACCACCACAAAUUGUCCUCCAGUUAAAAGCAUGAACUCUUCUGGACACGAAUUCUCUUCUGAGUGUGAGGAUGCCAUGACUGUGAUACAGGGUAAAGUGGGAUGGAGUGCUUAAUCCCCAAGAAAGUCCAUCAGGAAUAGGAGAAGGCCAGUUUAAGAGCAUUUAAUGUUGUCCAACAAGUCCAACUGAAAUCGGGAGUGGUUAAUCCUCAUAAAUAUAAUAUCUAUCAUUAGUUAUUCAGGAAAUAUGGGAAGUCAGUACCAAGUCAGAUGGUCCAAAACACGCAAGUCAAUUAAGCAGCCUGAAAGAGGUGACACGAGGCAUGAGUGAUGCCCAAAGAAGGUGACACGCCCAGUGUAGCUGGUUACAAAGCAAGCCUCCUGAUAGCUGGAUGUGUUUUGAAAUACUUGUAAAGUCCUUGGUAAGCAUCUCCUAUUCUUGUGAUAAAUAAACACUACCAAGGAAAAAGUACUAAACCACUCAACUGAAGUUUGAAUUGAUAAAGAAUGGUAAUGUGCACAAUACUGAAUGACCUUGGAGCCUCUUUGAUCUGUGCGUUUCUAUAUUCAGCUCAAGGUCCCAUUGAAACCAAGGAGUUUAUGUUUGGGCCAAUAAAUAGAGCUAAUAAAAGUUCACCCUUGGACUGGGACUCUUUGAAUGGCUGGAACAUGGGUCAUUUAUGGUGUUUGAUGACUGUGAAUGCCAACAAAACUACUACUGAGUAUAUAUGGCUUCUUUUACACCCUAGAUGAGAAAAGCCUGCCUGUAGCAUGUAGGAGAGUAAAAAAGAGAAUAAGCAACCUGAUGCCACAUAUUGAAAUUUCAUUUGACAAAUAUGCAUUGAAUAUCUACUAUGUGGCAGACAGCCUUCAAGCAGGAGGGAUACACAGAUGAACCAAAUGUAGGCCCUGCCUGUGAGACUCCAGACUGGACAGAAUGCACUUAAGUCCACAUAGCAGUAAUACACGUCGGACUGUGAGGAUGGCUGAGCAGAAGGAAGAGCAAGGAAUUCUCUAUGGGAAGACUCUGGAAGGCUUUAACAAGGAUGUGCUCUUUAGCUGAACCUUAAAGCAUGAGUGAAAAAAAAGAGCAGAAAAAGGUGGUGUUUUGAGCAGAGAACAGACACUGAGCAAGAAGCAGAAGAGCAGAGGAGCCGAGAAAGCUGGACAGAGUUCUAGAAAUGUGGCAUGGAAGGAAUGAAAGGUCUGAGGAGGGAAAGGAGGUCAGGACCAACUACGAAUGGUCUGGAAUGACUUGCUACACGUGGAUUUGACUUUAUUUGUAGGCCGGGGGGUUGUAGAGGUUUUAUAUUUUUAUACAUUUAUUUUUUAAUUUUCAUAUUUCAACAGAGCUUGUUUCAAGUAAUUCUUAUGUAAAACAUGAAUGUAUACAACAAAAACAAGCGGGUGAUGUUUCAUUAGUACAAACGUGCUUUUAUAAUCUUAACUUUAUUAAGCUUGCUUAUUCUUAAGUUAACCAAUGAGAACAAUUCUAAUCGUCUGCACAUGAGUCAAGAUUUUGCACUCUGUGCAAGUGACUGAAAACUCAAUUCAAACUAACUCAGGAAAAAAAAAAGUGGGGGAAGGGAGGAAGAAGAUUUAUUACCCAUAUAAAUCCAGGAGGGGUUCUGGGAUUCAGGAAUCAGUUGAUUGUGGGGCUGAAAGAAUAUUAUCAAAGCUUCAGCUGAUUUCUCAGCUCCAUGUCCCCUCUAUAGUAGCUGCUUCAUUCUCAACAUGAGCAUCCUUGGUAGUCCCCAGGAACGCUGGGCUUAGAAUCACCUUUACAAGCGGCAAUCUUCCUUUCCUACCAAAGCCCACCACAGUCCCAGAACUAAGCCUCAGCGACCUGGCCCGCCUCACAUGUCCAUCCCUGAACCUGUGGCCAACACAAUGGUGUAUCCCAAAUGAGCAUGGUGGGUCCUGCAUACAUCCAGGUCUCGAAGGAAAAUCGAGCUGCUGUCACCGGAAGGAGGAUGCACAGGAAAAAAAAAACACAGUUUAUUCUAUUUUGACCAAUGUGAAAAUUUUAAAUUUAGGAUAAGGGAUUGCAGGUUUAUACCAGUUUUAACACUCACUUUGUUUCUGUAUUUUAUUUGCACAGUAUUGAGAAAAUUCUGAUUCAUUACUGGUAACUGUUUUUUAAAUAGCAUACCUGUUUAAAUUACACCUGGAACAUUCAAAAUAGUCUUAAAUUAAACUUGUGCCAAAGUGUAAGUAGGUUGAAAGUCUGAGCAAUGGGAAGUUUUAUUUCAAAGUUUAAUUCUACAAACAAUCUCCUCUGUUAAUUUAAGUGUUCACUGGGAAGAUGUUUCUCAAAUGUAUCUAUAAUAUCUAACAAGAAAUUCAACAAUGUUACUUAUUUUUUAAACUUAGUAUCUCAGUAACUAUUGCUCAAAGCUUGAGUGUGAUAAAAUUAAUGUUUUGCUCUUUGAGUCAUAAAGUUAGGUUUCAACUUAAUUGCUGGCAUGCUAUCAGCAAAUGUAAGCAUGGUGAUAUUGCAACUUCACAUUGCCAAACUGAACUCAUUCAGUUUCUUGAAAAACAUCAGCAAGUUUAUGCAACUCUGUUAUAUCAGAGAACUAUUUGCUAAGUCUCAUUUGGGAUACAAUAUUUAGUGAUUUCUUGUCUCAUUUGAAAGAGUAAUAACAACACCUUGCCUCAAGACAGUUGGUAAGUGUACUUUCCCAGGAGAAAGUACACUGUGGAACCCACAACCCAAUACAUUCCCAAAAACUAUAAAAAGGCUGAAAUUGGAAUCUCCUGUCUCAUUAAACUGACAAUGUAAAGGAAAUCGCUAAUCACUGUUUUUGCUUUUGUUUUUUGAGACGGAGUCUCGCUCUGUAGCCCAGGCUGGAGUGCAGUGGCGCAAUCUCGCUCACUUGCAAGCUCCGCCUCCCGGGUUCACGCCAUUCUCCUGCCUCAGCCUCCCCAGCAGCUGGGACUAUAGGCGCACACCACCACGCCCGGCUAAUUUUUUGUAUUUUUAGUAGAGAUGGGGUUUCACCGUGUUAGCCAGGACCGUCUCCAUCUCCUGACUUUGUGAUCCUCCCGACUCGGCCUCCCAAAGUGUUGGGAUUACAGGCGUGAGCCACCGCGCCCAGCCUAAUCACUGUUUUAAGAGAUGCUCAUGUCACCUUAAUAGCAAGUGCUUUUCUGUGCAACUUGCCAUGUCUUAUUCAAAAUCACAUUUCACCAAGAAAAUUCCUCAGCACUUUGCACCACUUCAUCCCAUUCUGCAUAGCCUUAUUUUCCUAAUUGGGCUAACAUGACUCUUUUCUUAGCCUGAGAGCCCUGCAAGGGCUGGAACUCUCUUAUUAUGUGCUUUCUCUCCAUUGAGCUUACUAAUGUAUACUCAGAGCUUAGACUGUAAAUGUUUGGUGAAUAAAUUAUGUAUGUAUGUAUGUAUGUAUGUAUAUUUAAUGUGUUUUAUUUACAAAAAAAAUUAAAGGAAAAUUUUCACC
rnacentral:lncRNA from 1 species